rnacentral:misc_RNA from 1 species
ACAAGGGGCAAAGAUUCCGGGUCCUUGCUUUGUAAUUGUUGGUUUUAUGGAUUUCUGGGCGGAUGGCAGGACCUUAAAGUUUCUAAACCACAGUCACUGGCGAUGAACAGAGAAGAAUCAGCAUCCAGAGAAAAUUUAAAUAAGUACUACAAAGAACUCCACACCAUCCUCACUAAAAGCAAUCUCCAUGAUAAACCUGAAAAUAUAUACAACAUUGAUGAGACAGGAUUCAGUACUGAACAUUCCCCAUUUAAAAAUCAUUUGUGACAGGAGCACUUAACCACAAGCAGUUACAUCCAACAGAUCUACAUUGACCACUGUCAUUGCAGCUGGCAUUAAUCUAGGGAAUUAUGUUCCACAAUAUUAUGUGUUCAAGAGAAAACGUUGGAACCCAGAUUUCAUGAAAAAUGCGACACCAGGAGCGGAUGAAGGGAUGUCAGAAACUGGAUGGUCCAACAGUCAGGUGUACCCGAACUACUUGACAAAAUUCUUCAUCAAGCACAUCAGGUCUUCUGAGCAGCCAACCCUUGUUCUGUAUGAUGAGCAUAAAUCCCUUGACGGAUAGGGCGAAGAGGCACAAUAUCAUACUCCUUUUUUACCCCUGCACACUAGUCAUUUGACCCAAUCUCUGGGUGUCGGCGUGUUUGGUCCAAUGAAGGGAAUGUUCAACAAAGAAUGCCAGCUGUACAUGCAGAAGAAUCCUGGGAUUCACAUAACAAAAUAUCAGGUAGCUUAACUAACUGCUAGACCAUAUAUGAUGAGGGCCAUGUCACCUGAAAAUCUGACAUCAGCUUUUAGAAAGACUGGGAUACAUCCAAUUAACAAAGACAUGAUUCCAGAUUCUGACAUUGCAUCAUCUUUGAUUUACAACCAGCAUGAUGUUACCCACCUGUCUUCAAGCCAUCCCCCUACUGUCUCCUCUGCUGAGCCUCACAGUUAGAAUGAAGAACCAGAAGACUCUGAAAAUGCCAACAAUUCAACAUUUUUUGCCAGCAGAACAAUCACUUCAGUUAUACAGAGACCUUAAAAGAUAUUUUUCCCUCCAUUUCUGUCUGGAAAUUUAACCAAAAAGACUAACAUCAACAUCCUGAAAUCCAUUGAUGCAAAGCAACAGAAAAAAGUACCAGUAUCUAGUGCUGCCGCUGAAUCCAUCAAACCAGCAAAAAGACUGAAAAAAAAAAUCACGGAAAAAGAAGAAGGCCCAAGCACGUCGGGAAUCAAUAGAAAAGGUGGACCAAUUCCGCUCCUGUCAGAGGAUGAGUGGCCAGAAACAAGCGAUAGAAACAGCAUUGCAGAGGAAGAAAAAUGCUGUUUUUUGUCAUGACUGGCAGACAAAGGAGCUUCAAAACAGUACAAGUGUUGUGUUUGUGAAGUGGGGCAAAUGUGACUUCUGUGACCAUUUGACUCACCUUCAGUAUUGUACUCCUGUUCGAGUGUUGAGGCGGGGAGACACUUUUAAGUGUCCCCAUUGUGAAAAUAAUUGAAAAAAAAAUGAAUAAAAAUUCAGUCAUGUUUAUCACUU